CACAGCAAUAAUACUCCCAGUAAUGUGCCUGAGUGUAUAACAGAGCUCCACAGCAAUAAUACUCCCAGUAAUGUGCCUGAGUGUAUAACAGAGCUCCACAGCAAUAUUACUCCCAGUAAUGUGUCUGAGUGUAUAACAGAGCUCCACAGCAAUAAUACUCCCAGUAAUGUGUCUGAGUGUAUAACAGCGCUCCACAGUAAUAAUACUCCCAGUAAUGUGUCUGAGUGUAUAACAGAGCUCCACAGCAAUAAUACUCCCAGUAAUGUGUCUGAGUGUAUAACAGAG